rnacentral:rRNA from 1 species
AUCCCGAUGUACAGGAAGGAGGCAUCUUCUUUCUGUGAAACAUCCUUUAGGGGAUGGGGCGCGGAUGGACCCGCGGUGCAUUAGUUGGUUGGCGGGGUAAAGGCCCACCAAGACGAUGAUGCAUAGCCGGCCUGAGAGGGCGGACGGCCACAUUGGGACUGAGACACGGCCCAGACUCCUGCGGGAGGCAGCAGUAGGGAAUUUUCGUCAAUGGGCGCAAGCCUGAACGAGCGAUGCCGCGUGAGUGAAGAAGGCCUUCGGGUCGUAAAGCUCUGUUGCGGGGGAAAAAAGGCAGCAUCAGGAAAUGGGUGCUGACUGAUGGUGCCCCGCCAGAAAGUCACGGCUAACUACGUGCCAGCAGCCGCGGUAAUACGUAGGUGGCGAGCGUUAUCCGGAAUGAUUGGGCGUAAAGGGUGCGCAGGCGGUCCUGCAAGUCUGGAGUGAAACGCAUGAGCUCAACUCAUGCAUGGCUUUGGAAACUGGAGGACUGGAGAGCAGGAGAGGGCGGUGGAACUCCAUGUGUAGCGGUAAAAUGCGUAGAUAUAUGGAAGAACACCAGUGGCGAAGGCGGCCGCCUGGCCUGUUGCUGACGCUGAGGCACGAAAGCGUGGGGAGCAAAUGGAAUUAGAUACCCUAGUAGUCCACGCCGUAAAC